rnacentral:rRNA from 1 species
GAUGAACGCUAGCGGCAGGCUUAACACAUGCAAGUCGAGGGACGGUAGCAAUACUGGACCGGCAAACGGGUGCGGAACACGUACGCAACAUACCCUGAACUGGGGCAUAGCCUUCUGAAAAGGAGAUUAAUACCCCAUAAGAUAAUAGAGUGGCAUCACUUAGUUAUUAAAGAUUUAUUGGUUCAGGAUUGGCGUGCGUCCUAUUAGCUAGUUGUAAGGGUAACGGCCUACCAAGGCGACGAUAGGUAGCUGGUGUGAGAGCACGACCAGCCACACGGGCACUGAGACACGGGCCCGACUCCUACGGGAGGCAGCAGUGAGGAAUAUUGGUCAAUGGAGGCAACUCUG